rnacentral:rRNA from 1 species
AGUGAACGCUGGCGGUAGGCCUAACACAUGCAAGUCGAACGGCAGCACAGUAAGAGCUUGCUCUUACGGGUGGCGAGUGGCGGACGGGUGAGGAAUACAUCGGAAUCUACUUUUUCGUGGGGGAUAACGUAGGGAAACUUACGCUAAUACCGCAUACGACCUACGGGUGAAAGCAGGGGAUCUUCGGACCUUGCGCGAUUGAAUGAGCCGAUGUCGGAUUAGCUAGUUGGCGGGGUAAAGGCCCACCAAGGCGACGAUCCGUAGCUGGUCUGAGAGGAUGAUCAGCCACACUGGAACUGAGACACGGUCCAGACUCCUACGGGGGGCAGCAGUGGGGAAUAUUGGACAAUGGGCGCAAGCCUGAUCCAGCCAUACCGCGUGGGUGAAGAAGGCCUUCGGGUUGUAAAGCCCUUUUGUUGGGAAGGAAAAGCAGCAGGUUAAUACCCCGCUGUUCUGACGGUACCCAAAGAAUAAGCACCGGCUAACUUCGUG